rnacentral:rRNA from 1 species
UACGAAGGGGGCUAGCGUUGUUCGGAAUCACUGGGCGUAAAGGGCGCGUAGGCGGCCGAUCAAGUCGGGGGUGAAAGCCUGUGGCUCAACCACAGAAUUGCCUUCGAUACUGUUUGGCUUGAGACCGGGAGAGGUUAGUGGAACUGCGAGUGUAGAGGUGAAAUUCGUAGAUAUUCGCAAGAACACCAGUGGCGAAGGCGGCUGACUGGUCCGGUUCUGACGCUGAGGCGCGAAAGCGUGGGGAGCAAACAGG